CUGUGGACACACUGCUCGCCUACCCCUACCACGGAGGACCUCGCGACCAAGCAGACAGCGGCCCAGAUCUCUACAUCGACCGAGAAGCCCGAGCAUCAACGAGGAAGUGGCCCAGAUCCUCAGUCCAUGGAGAGGGUUUCAUCAGCUCCAGAAAUUGAUGAGGCUGCAUCAACUGAUCAAUCAAGCAGAUUAUCAAAAAGAAGGGCUAAAGUUUGGGAUUACGUUGAUACAGAGGUAGUAGAUGGGAAAGAGAAGGCAGUCUGCAAAUAUUCACAUUUCAUUAGUGAAGAUUUUGAGUUGCACAAAUAG
rnacentral:misc_RNA from 1 species